rnacentral:sRNA from 1 species
GGGCGCAUCCCCACUUGACCCAACAACUCCUCACUUCCCCCAUCACCCCCGCUGCUGAUUUUGUUGAUCUGGCUGGCUAGGCAGGUGUCCCCUUCCUCCCUCUCUGCUGCUCCAUGCGUGUCCUUCUCAAAGCUAGGUUGGUCAAAGAGAACAAACUUCUCCAAACAGAGACAGUCUUCAAUCAUAGUAUCUACAGUUCCUUGCUAGAAGCUCCACAUAAGCUCUAAAAAGAAAAGACAGAGAUAGGGAGAUAGCUCAGCACAGAUGUG